rnacentral:piRNA from 2 species
UAGGAUGAAAACACUGGGGCUGAAAUGCA